rnacentral:rRNA from 1 species
CUGAUGACCGAUAGUGAACCAGUACCGUGAGGGAAAGGUGAAAGAACCCCGCGAGGGAGUAGAAAGAAUCUGAAACCGUGUGCCUACAAGCCGUGAAAGGACUAUGCCCGUAAGGGAAUGUCUAAUCGCGUGCCUUUUGCAUAAUGAGCCUGCGAGUUACUAUCAGCGGCAAGGUUAAGUCGUAAGACGAAGCCGUAGCGAAAGCGAGUCCGAAAUGGGCGUACAGUCGCUGGGAGUAGACCCGAAAACCCGGUGAUCUACCCAUGUCCAGGAUGAAACGAGGGUAAAACCUCGUGGAGGUCCGAACUCACUACAGUUGAAAAUGUAGGGGAUGAGGUGUGGGUCGGAGUGAAAGGCUAAUCAAACCGGGAGAUAGCUGGUUCUCGCCGAAAGAUAUUUAGGUAUCGCCUCGGAAAACUCUGUCGAGGAGGUAGAGCACUGGAUGGGCUAGGGGUCUUACCAGAUUACCAAACCCAACCAAACUCCUAAUGCCUCGACAUUUACUCCGGGAGUCAGGCUGUGGGAGCUAAGUUCCAUGGCCAAAAGGGAAAGAGCCCAG